GUGUGUACACACACACACACACACACGUGUGUGUGUAUAUGUAUGUGUGUGUGUGUGUGUAUAUAU